rnacentral:rRNA from 1 species
UUCCUACGGGGGGCAGCAGUGGGGAAUAUUGGGCAAUGGGCGCAAGCCUGACCCAGCAACGCCGCGUGAAGGAAGAAGGCUUUCGGGUUGUAAACUUCUUUUGUCAGGGACGAAGCAAGUGACGGUACCUGACGAAUAAGCCACGGCUAACUACGUGCCAGCAGCCGCGGUAAUACGUAGGUGGCAAGCGUUAUCCGGAUUUACUGGGUGUAAAGGGAGCGUAGGCGGCUGUGUAAGCCAGAAGUGAAAGCCCGAGGCUCAACUACGGGACUGCUUUUGGAACUACAUGGCUUGAUUG